rnacentral:rRNA from 1 species
GACGAACGCUGGCGGCGUGCCUAAUACAUGCAAGUCGAGCGAACAGACGAGUAGGUUGCUCCUCUUACGUUAGCGGCGGACGGGUGAGUAACACGUGGAUAACCUACCUAUAAUACUUGGAUAACUUCGGGAAUCCGGAGCUAAGACCGGAGAAUAUAUCGAACCUCAUGGUUGAAUAGGUAAACACGGUGGUGCUGUCACGCAUAGAAGGAUCCGCGCGGCUUUAGCUAGUUGUUAAGGUAACGGCUUACCAAGGCGACGAUGCGUAGCCGACCUGAGCGGGUGAUCGGCCCCUCUGGAACUGAGCCCCGACCCAGGCUCCUACGGGAGGCAGCAGUAGGGAAUCUUCCGAAGAGGGCGGAAGACUGAGGGAGCAACGCCGGCUGAGCGAUGAAGGUCUUCGGGUCGUAAAACGCUGUUCUGGGGGAAGAACAAAUGUGUAAGUAACUAUGCACGACUUGACGGUACCUAAGCAGAAAGCCCCGGCUACCUACGU